UUCAUGAAAAAAAAGGGUCGAAGUAUCAGUGGAAACCACCAUCUUAUUUUGUCAGGACCAGGUCCUUUACUGGUUGCAGAAGAGGGUUUUGAGUAAUUAUAAAGAACCAUGAGUGUUGGCAGUGACUUUGGAAUGAUUUUUCAGCAUUGCUUCUGAAACAGAUUGGUCUGCAUCAAGUGCUUCCAUUCCCUGCAUAAGACUGAAACAUGUUAGUAAUUGGCAUGCUUAAGGGCUGACUGAACUAAGGUAGUCCUAUGGGCUAUUGCUUGAAAGUUAUUCAUGUAAUCUGUGCAAUUAACCGAGGUUAAAGAUAUUAUUGGCUC
rnacentral:lncRNA from 1 species